rnacentral:rRNA from 1 species
GGAUGAACGCUGGCGGCGUGCCUAAUACAUGCAAGUCGAGCGAACAGACGAGGAGCUUGCUCCUCUGACGUUAGCGGCGGACGGGUGAGUAACACGUGGAUAACCUACCUAUAAGACUGGGAUAACUUCGGGAAACCGGAGCUAAUACCGGAUAAUAUAUUGAACCGCAUGGUUCAAUAGUGAAAGACGGUUUUGCUGUCACUUAUAGAUGUAUCCGCGCCGCAUUAGCUAGUUGGUAAGGUAACGGCUUACCAAGGCAACGAUGCGUAGCCGACCUGAGAGGGUGAUCGGCCACACUGGAACUGAGACACGGUCCAGACUCCUACGGGAGGCAGCAGUAGGGAAUCUUCCGCAAUGGGCGAAAGCCUGACGGAGCAACGCCGCGUGAGUGAUGAAGGUCUUCGGAUCGUAAAACUCUGUUAUUAGGGAAGAACAAAUGUGUAAGUAACUAUGCACGUCUUGACGGUACCUAAUCAGAAAGCCACGGCUAACUACGUG